UACAGAGGUCCCGAGCGUUGUUCGGAUUCACUGGGCGUAAAGGGUGCGUAGGUGGCCGGGCAAGUCCGAUGUGAAAUCUCCGAGCCCAACUCGGAAACGUCAUUGGAAACUGCCCGGCUCGAGGACUGGAGAGGGGACUGGAAUUCUCGGUGUAGCAGUGAAAUGCGUAGAUAUCGAGAGGAACACCAGUGGCGAAGGCGAGUCCCUGGACAGAUCCUGACACUGAGGCACGAAAGCUAGGGGAG
rnacentral:rRNA from 1 species